UACGUAGGGGGCAAGCGUUGUCCGGAUUUAUUGGGCGUAAAGCGCUCGCAGGUGGUUCGUUGCGUCGUGCGUGAAAGACCCCGGCUCAACUGGGGAGGGUCGUGCGAUACGGGCGAACUGGAGGCCAGUAGGGGGAUGCGGAAUUCCGGGUAUAGUGGUGGAAUGCGUAGAGAUCCGGAGGAACACCAGCGGCGAAGGCGGCAUCCUGGACUGGUCCUGACACUCAUGAGCGAAAGCGUGGGGAGCGAUCCGG
rnacentral:rRNA from 1 species